UUUGUGAAAGUACUGUAGCCUACUAGCGGACAGAUCAACUUUGGCAUUGCAUUCUUCUUGAUUUAGGUUUGGUAGAAGUGUGAGAUAUGUUCUUUAGAGGGGCUGUUACAAGUUCUCCCAUUAAGAAGAAAAGCUUUGAGCCUGAACAUGUUUGUCAAAGUCUUGACCUCUCCCACUUCUCUGACUCCUCCUAUGAGUGUUUCUCCACCAAUCCGCUCACAGGCUCACUGUGCGCUUGUCGACGGAGUCCCCGCCUACUGGCCAAUGGUUAUUAUUUGCUGACAGAGGAUAGUUUUAGCACAGAUGACGAGGGUAACAUCACCCUGACACCCUCGCACACCAGCGUGUCAUACAAAGAGAACCUUGUCCGGAUAUUUAGACGAAGGCGCAGAGCUAGAAGAUCAUUGGCCAGCCUUCUGAGUGAUGUGAGCCAGUCCUGCCAGUCCUGGCUGGAAUCAAGCGUUUUUAGACGAUCUGAUCCCGUCACCCCCCUUGAGUCAUCAUCAUGGAUGGACUCAGACCACACCUGCGAGCAAGAUGCACCCAUCAGCUUUACAUACGAUCCCACAGAGCAUGUUCCCUCCCCAGAUAAAGAGACCCCUCAGACUCUGCUUGAGGAGCAGGAGCCUCAGACUGAGUCAUGUCCCCCUCAUGAACAAUGUAGCCAAUCAGUGAGCGGUCUUCUGGAUGUUCCUCCUCCAUCCAUGUGUCACCACAACAGUUACAGUUCAUCCACAAAGACAUCAUCAGACACUUUCCUGCUGAAAGUCCUCCUCUUCAUUCUUAUUUUGUGCAUCUGCAUUGCCAUCUCGUCCAGGUGGCUGCUGGGAGGCGUUUCUGCAGCGGUGGCCUUCUUUGUCCUGCUUUCAUCAUUAUGUGUGUCCAAACCUGGAAGAGCAGUCCAUUGGAGGAGAGCAAAGACUGAGGACAUCACCUCCAGAAACGAGUGAGAGGAACCCAUAUACACCCGUGUGUGAAGUCUGUUUAGGACCUCAGGAAGUGAGACUGUUGACUGCACAUCCUGAAUCACCAUCACACGUUAGCUAUAGCUCAGUUUUUGUGUUUGGUGUUUUCACUGUAGAAAUCUGAAUAUAAAUAUUUAUAGAAGAUUCAAACAGGACCAGUGAUAGGAUUUCUGUCACAGUAAAAUUGACAUGCUAAGAAAAGCAUGCACUUUAUAUAAAGGUGUUUCAAUCGUAUCAAUGCAGGUAGAUCAUUCAAGUUAAGAAUUUGAUUCGUCUUUCUAAAUGAAAGACAAUAUAUUAGAUUCUCUUGAAAGUCAGUGACGAUGCCCUGCAUGCACAGUUAAAAACAAUGGUUAAAAUAUGUACCCCAGCUGUUUGGGGCAGUACCCUUUAAAAGGUCCUAUUAUGUACCAUUAGGUACAUGCAUGUAUACAUUUGGUACCAAAGCUGUACUGUAUAUGAAAGGGUACAGUCCCAGUAACAGCUGGAGUACAUAUUUUGACAAUUUUUCUGAUAGUGUGACAAGAAGUGAAGUGUUAUUAUUAUUGUUGGUAAAUCCUCAGUUUGGCUUGGUUGGGGUCUUUACCAUGAUGACUGGGGCAUCCUGUGUUUAUCGCACCUUAGAUUAUCAGAUGCCCACAUAAAUAGUGUUGCAGAAAUAUUUGACUUUUUUUUUAACUAGUUGAUGCUUUAUUAUUCAUAGCAAAUUUUAUAUCUUAAAAAGUGCCAGUUUUGCUUUGCAUAAAUGCCUCAUAUUUGUCAAGUGCCUUUGAUAAACAAACAAGAGUGCUAUGUGAUUUAAUAGGGCACAAAUGUGCUUCUGAAAGUGCAAUAAUUAGUGUUAUAAUAGUUUAACCCUGUUGCUGCCAAAACAGAUCAUGUUUUAUAGUGUAUAUUAUGGGUUUAUGGUGCUUAAAGUCUGAAUGCAAACAUGUUGGAGACCCAGCCAAGAUAAAUACAAAGGGAAAAAUGAAUUAUUUAAGUGCAUUUAGCUUGUAGCCAACAGAAAUGUAUGUGUUUAUAUUUAAUGUGUUAUGUUAAUGUGGCUUAAAUGUGUAAUAUAAAUAUUUUUGUUGUGCACAUGAAUAAAGAAAAAUAGUGACUUGAAUAUCAGAAAAUAAACUAGUCAAUAUUUAAUAUAAAGUGUGUUAAAAUUAUUAUAACUUUUAUUAAAUCAGACAGGAUUAGACACAAGAUUAGACACAAAAAUGUUGGGAAAAUGAAAUGAAAAUCUGUUUGUUUAUUGUGUAUUGCAGAUUGCUUUUUUGAGAAAUAGGGAGAAAUUAUGAUUGAAUGUAAAUUUAUAACAAAGCAUAUUGUAAAAACAUAAGCUGAAAAGAAAGAAUGUAUUCAUUGAUUAGAAAUGUACAAACUUUUAUUGUUUUACUGCAUUUGAGCUUGUAUGGGUGCAGUAAAACUGUAAUUCUGCUUACUGUAGACAACAAUCUGUGGCACAAGAUAACUAAACCAUUACUGUAAAUACUAAAGAAGUAAAUUAGUUAAACUGUAUUAUUCCACUGCAUGUAAAAGUGAAAUGUGAAAUUAAUCUGUUUUAUGUAUACACUGUAAAAUGUAAUCUUAAAAUCAAAUGCAUUUAUAUAAUUUGCACAGGUACAUUUGAACAUGGCAAACAAAAUGGACCAUGUCAAUAAGUAUUAUAAAAUGAAAAGGCCUUUAAAUAUUUUAGGCCUUAUUUUUUUAAGGUUCAUAUUUUUACAGUGUAUUUUUAAAAUACUGCAAUAAAGGUUUUAUAUAUAAUA